UAAAUGGACUGUUGCACAUGAGAUGUACUGUGGAUACACUCAACAUACACAUUUAUAUGACAUUGUUGCAGUCAGUCGAAUCACAUUCAUGGACCUUUAUUAAAGGCAAGUGCAAUCAACUUGGACAUACCAUUCGGACUGUUAACAAAGCAGCAAUGAACUCUGUGUAACUAAGUGGACACUGUAGGUCAGAACAAGUACCCAAAACAGAGAACAAGGACACUGAAGGACACUAGGUGUUUAUCCGACAUAUCUAUCAAAAAAUGUUGACAACAUACUCAACAUACUUAUUGUGUGUAUUCACAAUACUAAUAUCCACUAAUUGCAACUAAAGCAAUAUUAUUUUUGAUGCUGUUUAGGCACUUGCACAACCUGUCGCCCCCUCCUCCUUUUUUAGCCACACCACGGUUCGAGUGCACUCAAGACCCAGAUGAGACAAACACAUGCCUACUGAAUUUUGGGAAAGUCUAUAGGCUUCAAUAGAGCCUGCCCAGUUUACUGGACUACCUGACGGUAUCAGUGAGACAGAUGUACUCCAUCAAAGCCCAGACUGGUGCUGCUCAACUGCUGGUUUCUGUCUGGGGGGGCGCUACCAAGAAUGCAUCUGUGAAGAACAGCUGUUGAUAGACGACUGGUCCUAGAGCCCUCCCUUGUUCUCCACCUGUACUCUAAGAAGUCGACGUCUACUGUGGUCAGAGGCCCAAACACAGUAGGCAUCAUUGCACAGGUCGCAUGUGCAGGAGGGCAAGAGGGACAACUCUUGCAUAUGAGCCUUCAGCUCAUAUGCCUAUGAGCUGAAGGCAGAAACCCAGUUGACCUGCGAAUGCAGCUGGAAGGAACAGAGGCAGGCUCUGAAAGCUUGCUGCAUCUCUAAAGUCAGUACAAUGAUAUAAAGAACCAUGUCCAGAAAUGUUGUCACCUUGGAAGGCUGGAGCUUGUUCUUUUUCAAACUCAGACCUUGAAUGUGAUUUAAAAGCAGCCACAUGACAGGAGCACUGUUCACCUAUGACCACCCAGUCCAGUCAGCUAUGAAGGUAACUGAAGACUGUGAGACCCUGCUGCUACCAAAAGAAUGUCCACAGAUAUACUCAAAGACAGGACCAAAAAUGUGGAUAUUCUGCCCUCAAAACUGAAUCUCAGGAAGAGUCAAUGCCCAUGCCAGUUGGGUACCUGGAAGUACAGAUCCUUGAGGUGGUGACAAAUAAGACUUUAUGCAUUUUUAUUCUGCCUCACCCUGGAAACUGCCAAAAGUAUGGUCCCCCAUACUGGGACCUCUGGUAUUGUGAGAGGCGCAGAUGCUCUCAUCUGCCUCAAGCCCCUAGUGCACCCAGAAAGCUACCUGAGAGCUCCUGUGCACAGCGGUAACUUUCUUGUGCUUGUUGCAACAACUUAACUGUCUGGGCCCAACAUAGCUGGAGGAUCCACUGGCAAUUUCAGUAAACGGUCCUGAUCUCCUUGCUGGGAGUGGGAUAGCCACAGGUGGUAACGAAACUGGAAACAAUACGCUGGUAUAAAGAUUCACAGCUGCCGUAGCCGGGAGAGAUGACAGAAAACACUGUUACUUGGAAGGUCACCAGCAACAGUGUAGAGAAAAAAACAGAUAAAGGGAAACGGCAAUCCAGGGAGGCCGCCCAAAGAUAGAAGCCCAGCUACUGUAUAACAGUUUGUUACCUAAGGUUACACAAGAUUCAGGAGCCAGUUUGGUAUUUGCAAGCUGAGCCCCACACAUUGUGAUGUCCCACUGUGCAGCUUUGCCCUGCCACUUGACGGAGCAGAUGGUGCUUCUUGAUCCUAGCACUGCUACUCCUGUUCAACUCUGCGCUGCCUGUCAGACUGUCACCCACCUCUGCUCCUUGUACUCUGUACUGCAGUCUUGCCCGACACAAACUU